GAGGAAGCGACACGAGACAAGCUCGGAGACAGCGGCUUGCCACCCCCCCCCGCCCCCCCCCCCCCAAAAACCCCGGCCGUCGGAAUUCAGAGCGCGCGCGCGCGCACGGACACACAACCACGGCUCUAGGCUCGCCCUUCGGGGAAGCGGCCGAGAAACUGCUUUGCCCCCUCGCUGACCCUUCCCAAGCCCCCGGGAAUUCCAGGAAAGGGUUAAGGUGCGACGGUGGCAGAGGAGACGCCGGCUGAGGAAACCGAAAGGGAGCGCUCAGCCAACAAAACCGUUGAUAGCUCAGCCGGCCGCUGCAGCCAAGUGGAACGAGCGUCGGGCUUCCUCUGCGGCUUCACUGAAGGUAGCGGCAGCCGGGCGUUAGACGGACUGGAGGAGCACGAGGCGUCCAACCGGGGCUGACUUUCACCACGCGGGAAAGGCGCCCGCGCGCGCCCCGCCUUGACCCGAAGACCACGCGGGAAGGAAAGGCGGGAGACGUCCGCGCGGCGACGGUGGGCGAGGUUGCACCUGUGGGCGGAGCCGCCUUUCCUACCUUCAAGAGCUGCAGCCCCGGGUCGGACUCCCUACCCUUUCAGGGGCAAAACUGGCAAUCGCUGAGGGAGGAAGCGCCGAGUUGCUCUUUGAACCCCUCACCCUCAGGGAGUGGAGGACCCAUAGGCUGGGGUUGGGAGCAAAGCAGGGGCUUCUCCAGCUUCAGGCAGAAGCAGUCCGCUUUUUCUGGCCCUCCUUUUUCCCGCCCCAGGGCAGGUUUGACUUCCUUGGCUUUCUCAUUGGCUUCCUUUCGAGUGUGGAGUUGACGGUGGCUCCGUGUCCUCUUCUCCCCCCCUUCUUUGGUUAGAGAGACUUGACUGCGAGGAGGAGAAGUUUCUUGCUCCGGUAUUUUGGGGAGUUGCGUGUCCGUACUGUUUCUUUCAAUUUUUAAAAUAUUGGAUGUUUUGUUUGGUAGCUUUGUCGAAGCUGGGCCCGUUUUCUUUUUCCAGGCAAUUCCAGGGGUCCUUCCCUAAUCUGUAAUGAAGCGGCUGCGGGAGAAGGAGGUACGUCUCCAGACGCCCCUUGGUUUGGCUGGGCUGAAGAGGCUGCCCGCGGCUGCCCGGGGUUGUUGAUGCCCGGCCUUGUGGUCGCUUUUGGAAGAUGGUUCUCUUUGGGAUUACACGUGGGGAGAGGCGGUCCCUCCGAGGGCGAGUGGGCUGGUGAAACUGACCUGACGCGCUGUUUGCUCUGGGGACGUUGUUGGCCUCAAUGGCUCCAUCUCCCAGCAGGAGCAGCAGGAAAGAUGCCAACGCGCUGCCAAGUUCUUCCUCAACUUUCUGGGUAGUUAUGAUCUUGGUUGGCCUCCUCAUCACCUACUGCAGUCAGUUGGCUGCAGGUACAUGUGAAAUUGUUACUUUGGACAGAGAUAGCAGUCAGCCUCGAAGGACUAUAGCCCGACAAACAGCUCGUUGUGCAUGUAAAAAAGGACAGAUUGCCGGUACCACAAGAGCCAGGCCAGCCUGUGUCGAUGCUCGCAUUAUAAAAACAAAACAGUGGUGUGAAAUGCUUCCAUGUUUAGAAGGAGAAGGCUGUGAUUUGCUAAUCAAUAAAUCCGGCUGGACUUGUACACAACCAGGUGGGCGGAUAAAGACAACAACGCCUGUCUGAGGUCAUGAGGGUUGGAGUCUGACCACUAGCCCGAAAAGGAAAGGCUGUUUGCAAGAGUUCUGGGUGUAUUUUCCUGGAAAAGGUCUCCUGACAAAUGCAACAACAGAGAAGCCUUGUAGGAGUUUUUAAGCUCUGUGUGGGCUAUAUUCCCUAGUCAAGUUUCACUGCUGUGGAUCAUCAUCCAUUCUGUGUCAUCAGUCCAACUGUCUGUUUCUCUGUAUUUCAUAAAAGACAGCAUAAUUCUACAUAAUGACCUAAAGUCUGUUCUAUUAUACUAAAGAGUUCUGGACUAAGGAAUAGAGAAAUAAAAGAAAUGUCUGGGCAUUAGCAAUACAAAAUCAAAACAACUCCCCCCACACACAUACACACACACACAAAAAUAGUUCACAGUUAACGUCUCAUCUGCGUUCUGCACUGCUUCUGGACUUGAUGUGUUGUCAAGUUUUAAUCUGAAGUUUCAGCCAGGGUGGAGAGUACUCAUCCCAAACAGCCUUAGAGAAGACUGCUUUUGUCUACAGGAGGACACUAAGGUGCAAAAGAGAGUUUCUUCUUGCACCCUAGACUGCCUGAAUUGAUUUUAUUUUCUUAUGUUUCAGUAUAUACAAUAGACCAAAGAGCAAAAAAAAAAUCUAUUUUAAAGUGGACAAAUGGUACUGUUAACAGAGUUAUUUGGGUUCAGCAGCAUGGGGACCACCCUGCACGAAUACAGCUCACCUAGUGCUGCGGUGUUACCGCUCAUCGGCAGUCUCUGUGGAACACUGCCUAAAACGCUGGAAUUGCUCUUGGAGAAAAGUACACUAAAGCCCACAAUGGAACAUGGAGAGAAAAUUAUCAUUCUUCAACAAGGAAACAGAACUUUGACCAGAAAUGACACAAACUGUCUACGCACCACCUUUACUUCUCUGUGCUUAGAUUGACUUCUCGUACUAAAAUCAUUUUGAGUUUAACCAGUUCAACAUGCCUCUUCUAUGGUUCCAUUUUUUGAUCGUUAAAAGUUGGAUAAUACAGUAUUUGCAAAGAGCAUGUUUGGUCAUUUGUGGCCUAUGUUUCAUCUGAUACACCAAUUAGCACCGGAAAGCAAAUCCAAGGGGGCGGGGAAGUAACACUUGUUUGAAAGAGAUCAUUUAAAUGUAUUUUGAAAAGCCUAAAGUUAUAUAUUUAACAGUUUUUAUAUGUUGUAUAUUUGUAGAAAAUCCUAUUUAACAAUUAACGUGGCAACUCUGACGGUCAUGACAAAAAAAGAAAAUUUCAGAGUUAAGUUGUUUUAUUACUUCAGAUGUUUCUGAAGGGACUGGUGUAGUUUGCUUUCUUCUAUUGGGGCAUUCCGGAUGUGAAGCAUGACCUGAGAGAACUCUGUAGAAAAAGCAAAGAAUAAUGUUGUUUAUAUUACAUAAAUGCAUUCAGCCAUUGCACUGUUGGAAGGCUUUCUCAGUCUCUCUUUCUCUUUCUGUCUCCCUCUCCCCUUUUUUCUUUUGAGGAGUCUUUAUAUACCAGUAAAAAUGUAAAAAUAUUUUAAUCAUUUGCUUUCCAUUCUGAGUUAUUUUUUUAUUUCUCUCUGUUCUUCCCCUUUUUGCCAAUUGGGUUUUUUAAAAAAUACAUCAGUUUGCAACCAUUCCUUGCUUUAUAUCAGGGGUCCUCAGCAUGGUGUCUGUGAGCUUCAUGGCACCCACUAACUCCUUUCAGGGCACUCAACAACUGUUUUUAGAAAGUGACUAUGGAUAGGUGAGGCUUUUGUCCAUCAAGGCUUCUGAUUGGCCAUUGGCCAUUUGAUUGGCUGUGCAUAUUUUUAAAACUCUUGUUUUGGCAGUGGUUGCCAUUUUGUAACUGAGCCCACUUUGCUGUGUCAAAAUUCCAAAGGUGUGUGCAGGCUCAAAACAUUUGGGGAUCACUGAUCUAGAUGUAGGGUUUUUUUCUUUCACCUCAUCUUUUAGAAAGCCCCCUUCUGCAACACUUUAGAGUAGAGAAAAUUUAGAGUGCUAUUUAAAAAAAUUUAAAAAGAUAGAAACAAAAAAAUUCCACAUGUAACUUUUUUGUCUGUAAGUCUGGCUCAUAGUGAUGCGAUAAGCUCAACAAAUGGUCAUUCCUUCUUCCCCACAAAUAUCUGCCAACAUGAAACUUUCUCCUAAUGCCCACUGUAGUAUACUACCUAAAUACUCUAAUUAACUUUUAAUAUUAUGCUAGUUCUAUGCUACUAAAGAAAAGAAAUAUAUAGGGACUGUUCAAGCAACCAUAGAUGAGAGGUAUGAAGAAAAAAAUGUUUAUUUAAGACCUCUUCUGAUUUUCAGAAUUAUUAUAAUGCACAGAUUGAGGAAACCAUGAAUUAUAGGUGACAGUGUCUACAAAAAAUAUGUACGUUAAUAGUCUUAUUUUAUUGUGAGGGUUUUAAUCCAUGUCCAAGUAGUAAUUAAAGCCCAGCCACUUGAAAAGUGUUAUGAACUGACUGCACUAUAAAUGACCAAUGUCUGAUUUAAAGUGUCAUGCAAUAAACUAUGGUAAACGCUUCACCUGUAUUACAAGAUUUGGAGAGCCAGAUCCCUCGCACAGCUGAAUUUUGGUUUUGUUUUGGUUUAUUUUGGAAGGGAGUGUAAUAGCCUUAUUUAGUAAAUACUGAACAAGAUUAAAAUGUUUCGACAUUUUUGUUGCUUUACAGUAUUCAGUUUUGUGUUGGUUCAGUUAAAUUAUGAAAAAAUAAAGAAAAUCCUUUUAUAAGUGA